GCGCACGGGCCCUGUGAGCGAUCGCGGUGGGCUUGGGCUGGUGACGCGUGCGCCGGCCGGCCGCCGAGGGGCUACCGUUCUGCCUCCGACCGGUCGUGUGUGGGUUUACUCGGAGAAAUACUAGGCUUUAGAAUUUCACCAUAUGAAUUUUGGGAGAGAGGAGCACAGUUCAGCCCAUAACUAACACACGUGAUGAAGAAGACAUGCCAACAGAGGGUUAAUUCCAGAUAAAAUGAAAUGUUCCAAACAGUACGUUUGGUUAUUUGAUUCAUCUGUGGGGGAAGGAAAGAUAAUUUUCCAAAGGACAUUCCUCCUAAAUUCUGUCUUAAAGUUGUUUACGGAAUGAAGUUGAUAAUAGUGAGACCUUGUUGGUACAAGACUAUGUAACAUAACCUGCGCUUCUCAACAAAGAAUUGCUUUUCUGACUUCUGCACUCAAUAGCAAGACAAAUCUCUCCUCUGCCUUCUCCUUAUCAGACUACUCAACAUGAAGGCAAUAAGAAUGAAGACCUCUAUGUAUAAUAAUUGACUUCCACUUAAUAAAUAAGGUUACUUGGUACACUGGUCGACAAAACCUUGAAAUGUUGAUGUUUAAGGGCUGUUGAUUGCUGGCAGCAAAGAAGUCCAACUGUGCUGGUACCCGAGAUAGCGUCUCCACAUUUUCUUCCAGGAUCAUCACCUUUGUUCUAAAUAGCUCCCACAUAGUGUGAACAGAAGUCAUAUGUUUUAGAUUUUCUGCCUUGGCACCCAGG
rnacentral:lncRNA from 1 species